UACAUGGGGUGCAAACGUUGCUCGGAAUUAUUGGGCGUAAAGCGCACGUAGGCGGUUUGUUAAGUCGGAUGUGAAAUCCCUCGGCUCAACUGAGGAAGUGCAUCCGAAACUGGCAAGCUUGAGUACGAAAGAGGGUCGCGGAAUUCCCGGUGUAGAGGUGAAAUUCGUAGAUAUCGGGAGGAACACCGGUGGCGAAGGCGGCGACCUGGGCCGUAACUGACGCUGAGGAGCGAAAGCGUGGGGAGCGAACAGG
rnacentral:rRNA from 1 species